rnacentral:rRNA from 1 species
GCGAACGGGUGAGUAACACGUGAGUAACCUGCCCUUGACUCUGGGAUAAGCGUUGGAAACGACGUCUAAUACCGGAUACGACUCUCGGCCGCAUGGUCUGGGGGUGGAAAGAUUUUUUGGUUGGGGAUGGACUCGCGGCCUAUCAGCUUGUUGGUGAGGUAAUGGCUCACCAAGGCGACGACGGGUAGCCGGCCUGAGAGGGUGACCGGCCACACUGGGACUGAGACACGGCCCAGACUCCUACGGGAGGCAGCAGUGGGGAAUAUUGCACAAUGGGCGAAAGCCUGAUGCAGCAACGCCGCGUGAGGGAUGACGGCCUUCGGGUUGUAAACCUCUUUUGGUGGGGAAGAAGUGGCUCUUUUUUGAGUUGUGACGGUACCUGCAGAAAAAGCACCGGCUAACUACGUGCCAGCAGCCGCGGUAAUACGUAGGGUGCAAGCGUUGUCCGGAAUUAUUGGGCGUAAAGAGCUCGUAGGCGGUUUGUCGCGUCUGCUGUGAAAACCCGAGGCUCAACCUCGGGCUUGCAGUGGGUACGGGCAGACUAGAGUGCGGUAGGGGAGAAUGGAAUUCCUGGUGUAGCGGUGGAAUGCGCAGAUAUCAGGAGGAACACCGAUGGCGAAGGCAGUUCUCUGGGCCGUAACUGACGCUGAGGAGCGAAAGCAUGGGGAGCAAACAGGAUUAGAUACCCUGGUAGUCCAUGCCGUAAACGUUGGGAACUAGAUGUGGGGGCCAUUCCACGGCUUCCGUGUCGCAGCUAACGCAUUAAGUUCCCCGCCUGGGGAGUACGGCCGCAAGGCUAAAACUCAAAGG